UCUCUCUUUCAGCCCGGUGAAAUGGAGUUUGACUCAGGCUGUUCUUGCCCUGAAUCCUCCAGGGGCUGUAUUAAAAAGGCAUCGCAGCAAUGUUGACAGGAAUACAUUUAUCGGGAUUGUGUCUCCUUUCAACAGGCGGCUGGGGGUGGCGCUGGCUGCCACAGGUCGCCUUGGCUGGCUGGCAGGCUAUUUGAUCUCCAUAUCACCUGCACUGGAUAGUCCCGCACCAGGCUGGCGCUUCAGACGGAGCCUUGCAUCAUGCAGGAGAUCAGGUAUCCACGUUAUUCCUGAGGACACGACUGUGGAAUUGAUUAUAGGUGUAAUUAGUGAGAUAUCGAAAGUCGCAGGAAGCUGUGGUGUGCUGGCCCUCGGAGGACUGCGGCCCAGACCAAGGAGAAGGACACUGCCUGAGUCUUUGGUUUAAACCUGAGUGGACUGAGUGACACGAGGCACAUGGGGAGGUCUGAUUUUGUUUUGUGCUGGGCUGUAGUCAAUAAAAGUGUUGCAUAUAGACGGAGUGCUGAAU